UACAGAGGGUGCAAGCGUUGUUCGGAAUCAUUGGGCGUAAAGGGCGCGUAGGCGGUUUUGAAAGUCGAAUGUGAAAGCCCAGGGCUCAACCUUGGAAGUGCAUCCGAUACUACAGAACUAGAAUCUCGGAGAGGGUGGUGGAAUUCCCAGUGUAGAGGUGAAAUUCGUAGAUAUUGGGAAGAACACCGGUGGCGAAGGCGGCUCUCUGGACCGAGACUGACGCUGAGGCGCGAAAGCGUGGGGAGCAAACAGG
rnacentral:rRNA from 1 species